GUGAAUCAUCGAAUUUUUGAACGCAAAUUGCACUCUCAGGUAUUCCGGAGAGUAUGCCUGUUUGAGGGUCAGUUUAAAUAAAAAUCGGUGUGGUUGCUGCCUUUCGUGGUGACGGACCGGAUUUGGUUCGUCUUGCCUUCGGUUAAGUGCCCUAAACUUUCACAUGAUUUUUUUCGAACGUAUUUACAUGAUUUUACGUACGUUUGCGAUAUAAAAUCCUAGGUGUGGUCAUGUUCAUGAUUUGUGUCU
rnacentral:misc_RNA from 1 species